rnacentral:lncRNA from 1 species
GUUUAAGUAAAUAGAAAUCUAUGAAAUUUUGACACAAGGUUAAUGACCACAAAAGGAAGGUUGGGAUUGAUUUUGGGAGUUUUGGUUCCAACAGUUUAGGAAUAAGGGGCCAAAAAAGGGCACAAAUAAGCAUUAUUCUUGGUUUUCGCACAAUAACUUUAGUAUAAGUUAAUAGAAAUCAAUGAAAUUUAAACACAAGGUUUAUGACCACAAAAGGAAGGUUGGGAUUGAAUUUGGGAGUUAAGGUCCCAACAGUUUAGGAAUAAGGGGCCAAAAAGGGGCCCAAAUAAGCAUUUUCUUGGUUUUCGCACCAUAACUUUAGUUAUAAGUAAAUAGAAAUCUAU